GUCCACGCCGUAAACGAUGGGUGCUAGGUGUGGGAGGUGUCAACUCCUUCCGUGCCGUAGCUAACGCAUUAAGCACCCCGCCUGGGGGAGUACGGCCGCAAGGCUAAAACUCAAAGGAAUUGACGGGGCCCCGCACAAGCAGCGGAGCAUGUGGUUUAAUUCGAUGCAACGCGAAGAACCUUACCAGGGCUUGACAUGCACUGGAAAUCCGUAGAAAUACGGCCCUCCUUCGGGACCAGUGCACAGGUGGUGCAUGGCUGUCGU
rnacentral:rRNA from 1 species